UGGACUCAAAACUACAUGAGGGCAAAUAAUCAGGGCAGCUGCUUUACAAAAGACCAUGUGCCCCAUGUCAGUUGGGAGAAGCUGAGCCUAGGAGUGGAAAGCAGGCUGUUUUCCCUAACUCUGAAGCAUUUUGCAACAGAGUUGGUUUUUUAACUAUAUACUUAACUGAGUGGUGGCUAAUUGGUGUCUGAGUGAUUUCAGCAGAGGAGGAGGAAGAGUCUCCAUGGAUUCCAGCUGAACAUUUCUACAAGCAAGUGAAGCCUACACACUGACACAAAACAGGUUUUGUUGCCAGAGGAGAUGCCAGACAGGGAGACAAGCUGACACCCAGAGGCCACGGCCGAAAGAAAUUGGCAUCUGGGUCUUGCAGCUGCCAAACCUUCUCUAUGAGUGGCCACAGCAAUCAGCUCCAGUGAUGUAGCAAACUGAGGAGGAGGAGGAGGAAAAGGGCAUGUGGUGCACAAUCAAUGCUGCAAUCAAAAGGAAGAUGCGGUGCCAGCUGGUUACUGCAGUUUUAUCACUCUGCCAGAAACACAAAAUAAUAUUUAAAGAAAACAACAACAACAAAAGCUUAGCAGCUUGCAUGGCCUAUAGCAGUGAAUGUGAAGAGUGAGAAGGUGGGCCAUGUGUGUGUGGCUGACACAGGAUUCCUGCAGCAAAGGGGACCCUGAGGCCCAUUUCUGUAGAGUGCCAGUGAUUUGUGGGAGUCAGUUCACUUUAGAAUUCUACAGCUACUUUUAAAAGUACAAGUUGUGCCAGGCAAAAGCCUGAUCUAUAUGGCUGGAAAUGUGGAAAUUGCAGUCGUGGUGGUGGAAAAGGUUAUUAACAUAAGGAUGGCCAUUUACUACAGAUGUUGAGAGAUAAUGGCUGGUUUUAAUAGGCAAACCAACGCAUUACAAACAUUUGAUGUAUCAAAAUGUGGGUGGGGUGGGAUGGUAGAGGAAAUUAUCAUUCACCAUAUGAAUUGUUUUAUUGUGUUGACCAUUUUCUGUAGUUUUGAGGAUUUUCUGUUAGAAAAAAUAUGAAGUGAAUUGAAAAAAAAAGGUACAUAUAUGUAUGCUUGAGUACAAAUACACCAACUGAUUAUCUUAUUGCUAUAACCCUUAUAGUUCCUCACCUUCUCCUUCCCAGAUUAUCUGGUUACUCCUAUAUAUUACUUCAUGUCUAAAAUUAGAUUGUAAAGCUCUUUGGGGGAUGGUCCAUAUGUUUAUAUUUUAUUGAAGCAUCUAGUGCACUUUUAGGCACAAUAACAACAAACAACUGCUAAGAAUUUAGUCAAUUGUAAUCUCUUUUGAUAAACUUCAGAGAGAUUCCACUAUGAGAAAAGGGGGAAAAAAAGAUGAUGAAAAGCAGAUACAAGAACAUAUUGCGUUUUCUAGGCACCAGUGCUUGAAUAUGAGCACGUUGGGUUGAUCUAUCAUCCCCCUGUCCACCUUGUGUGUAUGCUGAAUUCUUCCACUUUUCAUGUAUUCACUUCUGUCUUUUUCAGAUUGUGAGUUCUUUAGAUCAGGACCAUUUUUCUCCUUAUA